rnacentral:rRNA from 1 species
GACGAACGCUGGCGGCGUGCCUAAUACAUGCAAGUAGAACGCUGAAGGAGGAGCUUGCUUCUCUGGAUGAGUUGCGAACGGGUGAGUAACGCGUAGGUAACCUGCCUGGUAGCGGGGGAUAACUAUUGGAAACGAUAGCUAAUACCGCAUAAGAGUAGAUGUCGCAUGACAUUUGCUUAAAAGGUGCAAUUGCAUCACUACCAGAUGGACCUGCGUUGUAUUAGCUAGUUGGUGAGGUAACGGCUCACCAAGGCAACGAUACAUAGCCGACCUGAGAGGGUGAUCGGCCACACUGGGACUGAGACACGGCCCAGACUCCUUCGGGAGGCAGCAGUAGGGAAUCUUCGGCAAUGGACGGAAGGCUGACCGAGCAACGCCGCGUGAGUGAAGAAGGUUUUCGGGUCGUAAAGCUCUGUUGUAAGAGAAGAACGAGUGUGAGAGUGGAAAGUUCACACUGUGACGGUAUCUUACCAGAAAGGGACGGCUAACUACGUG